GGCAGUAAUACUCAUGGAUGCUCUGUUGAGGUCAAGUCUUGCAGGUUGCAUUCUUGGGCAUGAUUUGAGUGGUGGAGGAGAUAGAAAUAAUAUACAAGAAGUGAACGAUUCUAUGUUUAUUGAUGAUGGAGA